GAUGAACGCUGGCGGCGUGCCUAAUACAUGCAAGUCGAGCGAACGGACGAGAAGCUUGCUUUUCUGAUGUUAGCGGCGGACGGGUGAGUAACACGUGGAUAACCUACCUAUAAGACUGGGAUAACUUCGGGAAACCGGGGCUAAUACCGGAUAAUAUUUUGAACCGCAUGGUUCAAAAGUGAAAGACGGUCUUGCUGUCACUUAUCGAUGGAUCCGCGCUGCAUUAGCUAGUUGGUAAGGUAACGGCUUACCAAGGCAACGAUGCAUAGCCGACCUGAGAGGGUGAUAGGCCACACUGGAACUGAGACACGGUCCAGACUCCUACGGGAGGCAGCAGUAGGGAAUCUUCCGCAAUGGGCGAAAGCCUGACGGAGCAACGCCGCGUGAGUGAUGAAGGUCUUCGGAUCGUAAAACUCUGUUAUUAGGGAAGAACAUAUGUGUAAGUAACUGUGCACAUCUUGACGGUACCUAAUCAGAAAGCCACGGCUAACUACGUG
rnacentral:rRNA from 1 species